GAAGAAGCAGCCCCGCGGCCGCGCCCACAAGAGGAUCCAGUACAACCGCCGCUUCGUCACCGCCGUCGUCGGCUUCGGCAAGAAGCGCGGCCCCAACUCCUCCGAGAAGUAGGCGCGCCGCACCGCCGAGCCAAGAAAAAGGCUCUUCCUUUGCGCUAGUUUUCCUCUCGUUUGUUGUUACGCAAGAUUAUGAUGAUGGAAGAGACAUUACUGAAGUGUUAAAGUAUGCAUGUUUUGCUUAGUUGAAGAAUCUGAGAUAUUGUGGUAUGGGUUCAUGGCUUAAAUUUGCUUGUUGUUUGUCGUUGCCCAUGAUGUGCAACAUAUGCGUCUAGAUUGUUCCUGCUCUUGUGUCUCUUGUUUUAUAUUGUGCUGCUGCGUAUAUAACCUGCCAUUACUGGAUAUUGCAAUUGUGGUGUCCCUGUGAUAUAGGGUUGGGCGUUUAAUUGAUACACACCAAAUUUUGCGGUAGCAAUGGUCGUUUCCUGAUCAGUCAUGCCUAGUAGACUUUUUAAUUAAUUAGGAGCAGUGAACCCUUGUUUUGGAAACUUGAAACUGACUGGCUGUUUAGCAAUGUUCAGUAGGACCGAAUUGUAGUAGCUCAUUUACAGGGAAAGCUUGAUGCAUUCUUUCCAUUAUGUCUUCUUCUCUACUUGAUGGUGUGAUGAAAUGGUGAUUGCAAUAUUUGCUUGAUCUGAAGUUAGAAGGCAGGAACCUGACAAAGUUAAUGUCAGGGCGUAGUUUGCACGGUAUAGUAUGUUAAAAUGAGCUGUGCAUAAUUGCAUAUCACCCUUGAUCUGUUAACAUGUUUAGGUAGUGCGUUGUUUUGAAAAUGCAGCGUAUGUAGAGAUAACUUUAUUUAGACCACUGGAUACAAAAUAUGUUGCUGUUGCUGGACUCUGGUCCUUCAACUUAGUGUUGAAGCUACAGCGCUGCAUGCAUAUAUUUUCUUCUAAGAUAGUAGUAAGAUAGCUUAGGGCUGGCCUUUUGAUCAUUUUGUUUACUUAUUCGGAGCACCAUAUUGAAUGCUAGCCCUGGACCUUGUUUCCUUGGUGUGGCUGCACACCUUACAUGAUGUCUUUGAUUUAGAAACUUGAAACUGACUGUCAGUUUAGCAUGUUAAAUAGGAUUGAAUUUUUGCACUAUACACAUACUGGCCCACUAGCCACCAGAUUCUGAGUGCACUUGCAAACUUUUUCGUACUGGUCAAACUUAUUCAUGACUGUAUUGGUCAAAUGUUGCCUGCACUGUCUGUUUGAUCGAAGAAUAGAUGGCAGGAAUGUCUAUAAGUUUUGUCAGGUAAAAAGUUAACCUGGUAAUCAGUUGUUUAACAAGACUAGUGUAUGAAUCUCUCGACAGAAAAAAAAAAGAGAGUAGCAUGUUACUGCACCUCUCUGAAUCACUGAAAGCUGCAGUACUGAUGCCGUUUGAUAUCCCAGUUGCGAACUUGUUGACCAUCUGAUACAUGUUCUUGGGAACACUGGCUGGAUUGCUUCUCAUAAAUACAUAUUCUUGGGAACUUUUCAUUUGGUCAUAUUAUCUUCUCAUACGCAUUCUGUAUCUAGAGCUUAUUGCGAUCUUUGCUUCGGCGUCUUUGUGUUUGAUCCUUGUUCGCUUUGGAGCGGCAGAUCCUGCUGUUGCUAGAGGCGAGAAUGUGCGCCGAGCUUCAGUUCUUGCUCUGAACAAUGGCCGGUAUAAUCUGCUAUGGAAGACUUGAUUGGUUGUGAAGUGAAUGAUGUCGAAAUGGGAUGUUUACCUAGCGGGAACGUGAAACCAACCGUGUUAAUAGUCAUUUUGAUUCUCAAGAACGCUGCGCCCGUGAAUGGUGAGCUUGUCAGGAAAACUUGGCGGGCCGGGCAGGCUAAUCUGCAGGGAAUUGCUCUCGAGCUGGCCUUCACUUCAUGCACGGUGUGAGCGUUUGCUCUUAGGCUGGGCGGGCCAUGGCCACCUUUUGCCCCAACAUAGCUCCGCCUCUGUUUGUGCAUCCCCCUGUUUUCAGCUUCCGUCGAUGAUUGCGGCACCGGCAGGGGGCAGCUGCAGCUACGUUCUGCGCCUGUGUUUGUUUACCUGACGUGCACGCUUGCGAUCCGUCUUCCCGCGCUGCUGCUUCCGCCGUAGCGUAGCGUUAGAGCAUCUACUCAACCGAACCCGGUCUCAAACGUCCGGGCAGGAAAUUUGACUCAGAUGGGCCCCUCAAACCGCCGUCAAACGCUCGGGCUGACCGGCAUCCCCAUAUCCAGCCCAAAUAUGAGACGGAUCUGGGGAGGUUUGGGCGCGCCCGUCACAUCGACUUGGCCUGGCCCACACCUGCCCCACAAAUAUCGUCGUCCGGAAAACCCUAGACUGCAGUCAAUCCGAACUUCACUUCACUCCCUUCUCUAUCCACUCCAGUUUCGAUCCCCUACAAACGCAUCCGACAGCCGGCGACCGAAGCAGCGCUGUAUCCGGUGGGGACUCCGGCUCCGACGACGAUUGGUCUAGCCUCCUGCGCGAAGCGGACCCUGAUGAUGUUGAGGAGGCCGCCCUCCGCAUCGCAUUGAGGCGUUCGGUCGUCGACCAAGGCGGAUCCACUUUGUCAGUGCCCGGCGCCCGUCGACGUAGCGCCGACGACGUCGCCGGCCCUUCCCGCCCGGCGCGCAGCUCCGGCCACUCCGCUCCACUCCACCAGGUACGCCGCCCACCACCAGCACCCUCUGCUCCGGAGGUGGUGCCCGGCCACCGCUGGGUCCUCGUGCCCGCGGCGGGGCCGGCACGCACUCGGACGCCCGAGUCGGAAGCACGAGCAGCCCCGCGCGAGCGGCAGCGGGCGAGGGAGAGGGCAGCGACGUCUGAGUCGAUGUCCGCGCGCCGUCCGCGUACGAGCGCGCCCGUCGAUCUUGAGGCAGCGCUCCUCGCUUCUGUCCUCCGUCACUCGCUCAAGACAGCGAAGACGGAAGCGCGACGCCUCCGCCGCAAGAAUGCCAAGGCGCUCCGACUCGCCAUCGAGUUGUCGGAGCGCGAGGCAACAAAGGAGGCGGCGGCGAAGGCAAAGGCGGCCCGCCAUGCCAAGGAGCAGGACCGCCUGCCCCGCAGGUUGUCGGGCAUGAGGUGCAGCUCCGACUCGGAUACGAUGGACAGCUCCACCUCCAGCUCCGACGACGCACCUCCACAUGCCGACGCCUACACGGAGGAGGGGCAAAACCGCGCCGACAACCGAAAGGGGAAGGGGCCGGCUAGGAAGCGGUGAUUUCCUCCGCCCUUUCUCGUUCUGUUUAUAUUUUAUCUAUGUUUGUAGUAUGGAUUUGCACCGUCCGCCGUUGAACUCCGAUGAAUCAUGUUCCUUUUGUCUGGCUAAUCUGAUGAACCGCACUAUGAUCAUGUGUUUUACGUAGCGUUGCAUGAAUUGCAUGGUUUUGAGAUUUAGAAUAUAACGGACGCGAGUGUCGAAGACGAAAUAUGAGGCUUGUCUGAUCAGUGUCCGUGGAAAAUUAAGGGGCCGGAUUUGUCCAAUACGGUUGUAUUCCCUCCGUUCAGAAUUACUUGUCGUAGAAAUGGAUGUAUCUAGACGUAUUUUACUUCUAGAUACAUCCAUUUUUGAGACAAGUAAUUCCGAACGGAGAGAGUAGAUGCUCUUAGAUGCCUGGCCUGGGUGGGGACGGGAGCCACACGAUGGAGAUGGAGGAGUUGGUUGAUCCCAACCGGCCGACCGGGUGUUCGCUUCGUCGGCGGAAGAAAACGAGAGCUAGAGUAGCAGCGUGGGUUGUAGAGUAGGUUUGUAGUAGCUAGCUAGGCACUACAUAGUAGAUCGAGCUCGAUCGUCGUGCUAUGACCAAACGCCGGCCGCGUCGACGCACAACUUUGCUUGACUUGGACGAAGCGACCACGUGUGUGGGCACGGCACUGAAAAAAAAUUCUAUGGCCUAGGGCCUAUUUGGUUCGCGGUAUAUUCUCAAAGCAUAGGUUUAGCCUAAAUACAUAUUAGUGCGCGUGCGCUCGCAGCGCUCCUCGAGCGGCAGGCGUCACACCGUGCGAUGGCGUGGGAUCGUGCGGUCGUGCGUGGCCAUGUGUUUUUUUGUCGGUUUUCGGGCGCGCCGCAUCUCCCGCACACCUGGCCCGGUUGUGCCGAGGCGGCGUCGCGUACCCCUCCCGGUGGGCCCGCCAUGUCAUUGACUGCGUAGAGUAUGUUUGUUAGUGAGCGUAGACAAAGUAGUGGGCGGUGGGCAGUUUCGAAUUUCGUGCCACUUCCUCCAUCCCCCAUCCACCACCCUUCACCGCUCCAUUCCCUUCUCCCCUCCCAUCCCCUCCCGAUUUGCCGGUCGUUGCCGGGUUCGCCGCUGGAUCUCGCCGUCGACGCCGUUGAAAGGUGCGGAGGAGGCGGAGGCGCAGCAGGGGGAGGCACCCGUUGCUCGUCGCCGGCUGAGGUACGCUCGCUGCUCAACCGCUUGCUCCUUCUCCCCGCGUGCCGUACCGAUCUCGCUGCAUGCCGUACAGAUGGAGGCCGCGGCUGUAAUGCUCUUGCCGUGCCCCGUAGUGCUCCCGCCGCGCUCGUUGUAGGAGAGGCCACGCCCGUAGCGCUCUCGCCGCGCCCAUAGCGGGGGAAGUGGUGCUCGUACUGCUCCCGUCGCGCUCGUAGCCGCAGAGGCCGCGACCGCAGCGCUCUCGCCGCGUCUGUAGCGGGGUAGGCCGCGUCCUCUAGACUUGCUCGCCGUGUUGGUUGUGCUGUCGCCGCGCCCGUAGCUGCAUAGGCUGCGAUCGCUGCGCUCUCACCCCGUCUGUAGCCGGGGAGGCCGCGCCCGCUAGACUCGCUCCACAGUGCCUGUAGUGGGGGAGGCCUAGCCGACAGCAGAUCUAGCGUCCGUGUCCCUUUUGCACAAGUGAAUCGAAACCCUAGGUACUGUUGCAUUUUAGUUGGUAGAUAUUUCACCAUGGCAAUUGAAUCCGUUCGAUUUUUUAUUUUUUCAUGCCCAGUUGCACAACGAUUUGUUUGCAGUUGGCAACUGCACUAUAGUAGUUGCACAGUGAAUGUUUUCAUUACUCAGUUGCACAACGAGUAUCUUGUAGUUGGCAGUUGCACAAAUAGAAGUUGCAUAACGAGUUUUGUGCUUAAACUUGACAUUUGUCCAGAUGCCCAAUCGGCAGUUCCAGCUGCAUCAGUUGCACACAUCAGGUGCAUCAGUUGCACACAUCAGCUGCCAUAAACACAUUUUUAGCAGUUAUAGGUACAAUAGUUGCACAUAUUAGGGUAUCUAUGUUCUGCAGGUUUUAUACUUGGCACUGGACCAGUUCCCAGCUGGCAGAUCUAGAUUCAAUAGUGGCACACAGCUGGGAUAUGUGUUCUUGAAUUUUUCACUUGGCAUUACCAUAUCUGAGUUGGCAGAACCAGGGUCAAUGUUUGGCAAAAUCAGGAUCCAGUUGGCACAGGAUUUUUUGAAAUGUCUUAGUGGUGGGAUGCUGGUUUUUUAUGCAUUUGUUUAACAAGUUUUGUUAGUGCUUUUGGGCUACAAUUUUUGUGUGUGUGCAAUUAGAAUGAUUUUGUCGGGACCUGUUUUUUUAGCAGUGACAAUGGUCGAAGAGGGAGAUGCCGGUGGAAGUGGGGAAGAGGUUGUUUUCUAUAAGCUCAAAAGGGAGCAAAUAUGAUCGAAUAUAUGUGCUUGUUUUCUUUUCUCUUUUCUCUUUUUUCCUUUUCUGUUUCUGAUUUUUGGUUUUCGUUUCUUUUGAGCCAUGCGGAGGAUUGCAUCGAAGUAUAUACGGCGGAACAGGAAAAGGCCUGCUCAGCGGGGUGCUCGUACCGACCCCGAUGAUGGUAAUGAAGUAGGGGUAAGUUUUGAAUACGCAAUGAACAAUUUUGAGUUUAUGUAAAAGAAAUUCAAUAUUUUAUUUUUGUUUUCUCUGUUUUUUUCAUGAUUUUUAACAUGAGGCAUCAUUUGGUUAUUUUGUAGGUGGAGGAUGCUACUGCAUCCCGUGCUGCAAAGCGAGCCAGAACAAAAGGAAAAAGGCAAGUCAUCUGAUGGGGGUGGCCCAACCUCUGCAGAAGCUGAUGCGGUACCUUUUUUUUGUACAUUUUUCUUUUUUCAGUUGCACAAUAUCUUGGUACUAGUUGGCACCUGUGCUGUUCAGUGUUGCAUAUGAAAAGCAUACACUUGGCUGUUGUGUUUGACCAGCAUUUUUUUUGGCUUACAUUUUUUAUGGUGCAAAUUUGAAAGUGUUGUAUACUACCAUGUCAAAUCUGAAAAGUGAUGUUUAGUGUUUUUAGUCUUUCUUUUAUGAUAGAUUUUGGAAUCUCCUUACCUACCUUGUCAAAUUUGAAAGUUGGCACCAAUUGAGCACACAGCUGCACAAAAUCAUGAUACAUUUUUGGACAGUUUUUUAAUUUCAGUGUGUGUACAUGUCAGUUGCACAAUGAGGUAUAAUAGUUGCACAACAAUCAACAUGUGGUUGCACAACAACCAACUACGUGGUCAGUUGCAGAUGUAUGUACACUAGUUGCACAAUUUGUCUGUAUUCAUUUUCCCUUUUUUUGUCUCAGGUGGGUGAAGUUGGAGUUGAAGGGAACGAAGGAAACGUUCCUCAGCGGCGUUCACAAGCUGGAAGGAUUAGGGCAUCACCAGGGAGGUUUGUGAAGGUGAACAACGAUUUGGCACCUGUUCAGAGAUCUUUCUUAUAUGAGAAGAUGUUAGGAGGUUUGGUAAACCUAGCAGACACACUGCCUUCCGACUUGACGAAGUUCGUAGUCCAGUCAUACGACCCAGCCAGUUCAGCUUUGGUAUUCCCAGGCAGGGGAACUAUUCCAGUAGAUGCUGCUAGUGUGCACAGGAACUUUGGUUUACCAAACAGAGGGCCGCGGCUGAAAUACACCAAUGAGAUGUUCAACCACACCGGGCCACCCAAACACCCCACGGUUACCGAAUUCACCAAGACGAUGAAAGCUAUGAAGGGUACAACUGAUAACAAGUUCCUCACUGGGUGGCUUGCAGUUGCUUUCAGCACCUUUUUAGCUCCUACAACUAGUCUCUCUCUGAGCCCACGUUGCUACAGCGCUGUGCUAAAACCCGAUGUUCUGUUGAAGAGCAAUGUGAGCUUAUUUGUUGCUGACCACAUAAAUGAAGCAUUCCGCAACAUGGGUGAGGACAAGCAAACAGUCUGUUGCUGCCUGUAUCAUUUGAUGGUGAGCUCUAAUUAAUUGUAUUCUGUUAGAUAUACCUUUUGUAGAUGUUUUUUGUGCUUUUUAUCACCAAUGUUCUUAUAUGUUUUAUUUCCUUUUUUUUUGUUUGUCUCUUGGGGGUGGUGCAUGUACAGAUUCUCUACAUCGACGCACUCGAGGUUGAUGUGCGAAUAAGCCACUGCGAAGUUCGAGCCAAUGCCUAUGAUAAGAACCUAAUCAACAAGAUAAUGAAAAAGGACUUGAUUUCGCUUGGUGUCUUUGGGAAACUUCAAGUGAGUUGGAAAUUCUGCUCAAAGUCUGUAUUUGCACAUGAUUCUUUCACAUACCUGUAAGUAGUUGCACAAGUCUAUAUUGAUAGUUGGCACACAGACUAAAUAGAGUUGCACACAUGCUUGUUUCAUAUUUCCUCUUUACAGUAACCACUUCCAGUUGUACUUUCCAUAGUAAUUUCAGUCAGUUUUUUUUGCUUCUGAGAGCAUGUGGUAGUUGCACAAGUCGAUGUUGAUAGUUGGCACACAGACUUUAUGAACAGUUUGCACACAUGCUUGUUUCAUAUUUCCCUAUAAAGUCCCACUUCUCAUUUGUGACUUCACAUAGUAUUUUUUAGUUACUUUUUUUUGCUUCUAGGGCAUGUGGUAGUUGCACAAGUCUAUGUUGAUAGUUGGCACACAUGCUUGUGACAGUUGCACACAUGCUUGUUUCAUAUUUUCCUUUAAAGUCCAACUUCUCAUUUGUGACUUCACAUAGUUUUUUCACUUACUUUUUGUGCUUCUAGGGCAUGUGGUAGUUGCCCAUAUAUAAAGUCUUUUUCCUUUUUAGAUCCAGACAAUAUAGACUUGUUAUUGUAGAAGUUAUUGUUGUAAAAUGAUCCUUUCUUUCUGUGAACAGCUCAAGGAGCAGUAUAGAACCAAAGAGGAUUCAACACUCUUCAGAGGAUUACUGCAGGCAGAAGCUUUUGUGGCAUCAAAGGUUCCAAUGAGUUACAAUCCCCAUGUGAGUUAUCCUUUUUUGCUCACCCACACUUUUUUUAUUAGAACAAAAAUCAUGUUUUGUUGUUGGUUUUACUUUUUCCGUGCCCAAUGCAUGCAUGAGUUGCACAGAAUUAUUAUCUCACCAUUUUUCCUAAUUGAAAUCAAAUUUAUGUUUUAACUUACACAGAUUCCACAACUCCUAGCUACAAAAUAUGCUUCUUUUUUACUUCCUGCUAACUUACCCCUCUUCAGUUGCACACUUUCAGCAUCUCAGUUGCACACUACUUUCAUAUACUUGUACCAAACUUAGGUUUGUAGUUGCGCAGAAAUAUACUUUGAUAUACUUUUCAUUAUCUCAUUUUUUCUGUUUUAAAUAAAUUUUGUUUUUCUUCUAAUGUUAUGCAGAAGAAGUUCAAGUUAGCAGGUAUGGUUCAUGAUCUAUGUAAAGGAAUAUCAGACAAUCUUGGCAACUUCAUCGAAGGUUUUGCCAAUCUUGAUGAAGAGGAACCAGAUUUGUCUCCUCUCAAGGGCCCGCUAAGUGAUCAAACAAAGGGUCAAAGCUCACACACUAGGCGACGGAAGUGUCAAUCUACUGCCAAGCAAUCAGAAGAGGUGGAGGGAAGUGAAGAAGAAGAAUUUGUAGAGGAAAGUGAGUCAGAGGAAGAAGAUGUUCACCUGGGAGUUGGCAAUGAUUCUGAAGAAAGUGAUGAUUCUGAAGAAGAAGAGGAGGAUCAAGAGGGAAGGAAUGAUGAAGAACGUGAUGAUGACAGUGACAACGAUGAUGAUGAUGAUGACAGUGACGAUGACGCUGACAACAAUGAAGACAAUGAAGAAUCCGGUAAUGAUGAAGUGGAAGAGGAAGAGGAAAAAGAUGGAACAGGCAAGGGGGAAGGUGAGGAUGUCGAGAACGUUGACAGAGAUGAGCAAGGAAAGCAUGGGGGCAGUGAUGAUGACAGCGAGGAAACACACGACGAUGACAGGGGGGCCUUUGAUGGAGGUAGUGACAGUGGGAAGGAUGAUGAUGAUGAUGGUAUGGGUGGCAGUGACAGCAGUUCAAAGAGGGCAGACACUUCUGGAGAUGGAGGAAACAGCAGCAGCAGCAGCUCAAUUGAUGAUAGUGUAACUGUAGAGUUUUUCAUCCAAAAGGACAUGCGUCGGAAGGGUGAAGAUCCGGAAUCAGUUGGAACCAAAGCAGCUGUGCCAGAGGAAAGUUUCUCAUUGUUUGACUUGUGUAGAUCAGAGCCAGCAAUCCCCAACAGAAUUGAUAUCCCUUUGUUGGAAACUCAUGCAAUCUUUGACAUGAAAGAGAAUGAUAACACCUUUGAAAAAAUCAUAAACGAUGGAGUACAAAGCACUGAGGAAGAAAUGGAAGAGGCAGGAAAGGGUUUGGACUGGAUUGGCUCAAAAACCGUGCUUGACAAGAUAUUGAAGGAAGGUCCUGUAUUUGAAGAUGCUUCAUCAUCAGGUGGUAGCAAGAGUAUGGCAGCAUCCCCACCGCGCCCACCCACUGUCCCAAAGCGCAAGAAGCUCGUGACACUUAGCAAGAACCUGGUGUUGGGUCAACCAAAAGAUAAGAUUCCUGGUAUGGGAGAGAAAAAUCCGAAGAACGGAAGUAAAUCAAAGGGAAAGGAGGUGCCAACUCCAGAGCCCAAGAAGGCAAGCACUGUUAUACAGGUGCCAACCAUUGCGUAUGUAGAUGCCAAGCUCAUCUCUACAACAUGCAAACUCCUGGUAAAAAAAAGCAACAAAACAGUGUCUUUUGCCAAGGACACAAAGUUUGCAGAAAUGGGAAUAGAGUUGCCAAGCCAUGCUAUUAAGAGUGGAUCAAACAGUCAAGAGAAAGUUGUUAGUAUGUAGUGCAGGAAGUCGGCAACCCCAACAGCUGAUGUGGCAGCUCCAACUUCAAGUGAGCCAAUUGUUUGUCCAAAUAAGCCAACUACAGCAUCCAGUGCGCACAAUACACCAGCAAUCAAGGAAAGUGAAACCACCACUGUGCCAACAACAAGAGGAAGUGAGGUAUCUGGAGUUGUGUCUAUCCUACCCCCAUCAGUCACCACAGAACCCCAAGCUGUCAGUGUGCCAAUCCCAGAAACUGCGUUGCCAACUCAAGCAGUCACUGUGCCAACCACAACAGUCAGUGUGCCAACUCCAACCCCAACCCAUUCAGUCACCAUGGAACCCUCAGCUGUCAGUAAUGUUGUGCAGGCUCAGAAACAACAUUUGCCUACUUUUCGUGCUCUUGAUCAACAGGACACACUUACACAAGAGCAAGUUUAUGACCUUGUUUUGAGGUCUAUACUGCCAAGACCGCCGCCAAGCAUAAUUGCACGAACCAAGUCAGCAGGUGAUGCACCCAAGGAUGUCCAAGGAGAGAACAACAGUGUGCAUCCCAUUCGUAGAGCAUCAUCAACAAGAUCAUAUCACGACGAUGGGUUCUGUGACGCUCCACCAUUUGACUUGGGUUUGGAUCUUGAUGAUGACCCCCUAGUUGCCACAGUGGACGAGCCUAACAAAUCACAAGUGACACCACAAGAGGCAGGGUUAUCUAAGAGCAGCGAGCUAGAUGAUUGGGAUUCGGAAACUGUGAGAGAGGUUUGUGCUGCUGCAGAUAAGGUGGUAUCUGGGAAGGCACCAAUUCAUAUCAUCAUUUCGGAUUCUCCAGACGAGUUUCACACCCCAGAUGUGACAGGUGUUCUAGGGGGUGCAAGUGGAUCCGAUAGUACCACAUCUGGCCCACCAGUGCAAAAACGCACAAGGAGGAUAAUCAAGCCUGAUGCUGUCCAGAGGUCUCCCUACAUCGACUACAAUAAAACAAAGACGUUCACUUGCAAUGAACAAGUGAACAGGCUUUAUGCGGCAGUUCUCUAUUAUGUAAGGAAUCUACCUGGAGCAAACGUCAUAGAAACAAGGUAAAACUAAUGCAUUUUGUGGUAAAUAUGUAUCCCCUCUUCUAUCUUUAGUUUGGCCAGUCAGUCUGUUACGUUUGCAUCUUCAUGUUUAUUGAUUUUUUGCACAAAAAUGGUAAUACAGUUGAACAUCUUUUAUUAUUGUCAUAGACAUAUGUAAUAGUAGCACUACAAUAGUAAUUCAAUUUUUUUGUAGUUGCAGAAGUCAUCUUUUGUACUUGCAGUUCCAUUCAACAUCACUUGCACAACAGUAGUUAUACAGUUGGCACAUCAGGCCCUGCACACCUUAACAACAGUUACUCAUUUUUCAUUCACUUUUUCACGCGUUUAUGGCAACCAGUUAAUCCUGUUUUUUGUUCUUUUUCUUUGCCCUCGUAUUGUUUUCCGAACAGCCCUGAAAUCAUUAACUAUGAUGGGUACUUUGUGAGCCUAAAGGAGUUGGCUGACUCAAUGAAGCCUACCAAAUGGCUAUCUAAUGGUAUUGUCGAAGCUACUCUUAUCCAAAUCAGGGAAACCUUACCUAAGGACUCAAAGAAGGUCAUCAUGCCACUGAGGGUUGCUGUAAGUUGAAUGAGAACUGAUGUUCUUGUUUCACACAACAUCCCUUUGUCCCUUCCUUUUUUACAAUGUGUUUCCUAAGACUAAUUUCUUCAAAUGCAGACACGCUUGCAGUAAGAAAUAUACAACGCUGCUGAGAUACAUUCUAAAUUUGAGAAGAUUAAUCACCUAGACCGUCAAGAUAUGGUCAGUUUUUUCUGGCCACACAACUUUGUGUUUUUUUCAACUUUUCGUGUUGCAUAGCUCUUGGUUUUUCACUGGUCAGUUCUUGACAACUUUUUACCUUCUUUUUUCCUGUGCUGUCAAUAUGUGCAGGUGAUGCUUCCUGUGCUCGAGUUCGCUGAUCCCAAUGAUCAAGAAGGAGGCAGACACUACUGGGUGUUUAACAUCAACUUAAGAGAUCAGCGUUUCGAGGUGCUAGAUUCUUGGAGGAACCUCGACAACCCCGACUUAAUGCACUGUGCUUCAACUAUAGGGGGGCGGUGAGGUGUUUAUGGAAGCAGCACUACCCAAAGCAUAACAUCAGUCACUUUCAGGUUGUCGACAUUGAUGUUGUAACGCCCGGAUAAUAAGGCUACAGUAAAACUCUCCUAAUGAUGCCAUGUCAUCUCUGUUACUGUUGCUAAUCUCUCGUUAGUGCAGAACCAGUUCAAAAGUCAAAAUUCAAAAUAUGUCAAACAACAAAAAAUUUCAAACUUUAAAACUAAAAUGUUCGGAGUGUGCCAAUUAAUGUUUAGAUAUUUAAGGUGAAGGAAACACACUUUUACAGAAUGCAUAAAUAUUUUUAAUUGAAUUAAUACAGAAAAGGAAAAUAAAUAAAAGAAAAGGAACAAAACAGAAAACAAAAGAAACCACUCCCCCUCGGCUCUCCAUGGGCCUCGGCCCAUCCUACCCAACCAGCCCGGCAGCCCAGCCGGCGUCGCACUCCUCUCCUUAUCCCCACCCGGUUAGGAUAACCCUAACCCAACGCCCCACUUCCCCCCACUCGCUCUCCCCCUCCCCCGAUCCAGAUCUGGAUCGAGGGAACAAAACCCCCCAACGCCGUACCCUUUGCCUCGUCACCGUGCGCCGUCACCGCCGCCCGAGGACCUCGCCGAGCCUUCCCCACCGGACUGCCUCCCCGUCGAUCUCGUCCCCAUCAUCCUCCUCAACCCCACUGCCCCGAACCCUAUGCUCGUGGUGAGGACCCCGGUCCUCCUCUCUCCCUGUCUCCGCUCGGGCCUCAACCGCCCGCUCGUGUGGCUCCACCGCGCGCGCGACGCACUCACGCCCCUGCUCACCGCGGCCUCGCCCUGACCGGCAUGCCUCCGCACGCGCAAACGGCCGCGCCCCCUCACGCACACCCCGCGCCCACAUUCCCUUGUCCUCGGCCGCGGCCGCUCGCGUCGCCGCCGUCCUUUUCUGCCGCCCGCUGCUCCCGCGCUCCAGCCGUGCAACGCUCCCCAGCGUCCCCCUCUGUACGCCGCUAGCCAGCCCUGCCGGCGCCCUGCCGCACCCAUCGAGCCGCCUCUGCUGUUGCUGCUCCACCACCGCGACCCGCGCCCUGCUUCGCGUCGCGUCGCCCGUCGUCGUGCUUGCUCGUCUCUGCUCUCCCGCAGCUGCCGACGAUGCGCCCCGCUGCUGCUGUCCCGCUGCGCUUCGACGCCGACCUCCGCCACCGCCGCGUUGUGCCACCCCGUGCAGCCAACGCCCGCCCGCUGCUUCCCGGCCCCGCCGUGGCCUUGCCNNNNNNNNNNNNNNNNNNNNNNNNNNNNNNNNNNNNNNNNNNNNNNNNNNNNNNNNNNNNNNNNNNNNNNNNNNNNNNNNNNNNNNNNNNNNNNNNNNNNNNNNNNNNNNNNNNNNNNNNNNNNNNNNNNNNNNNNNNNNNNNNNNNNNNNNNNNNNNNNNNNNNNNNNNNNNNNNNNNNNNNNNNNNNNNNNNNNNNNNNNNNNNNNNNNNNNNNNNNNNNNNNNNNNNNNNNNNNNNNNNNNNNNNNNNNNNNNNNNNNNNNNNNNNNNNNNNNNNNNNNNNNNNNNNNNNNNNNNNNNNNNNNNNNNNNNNNNNNNNNNNNNNNNNNNNNNNNNNNNNNNNNNNNNNNNNNNNNNNNNNNNNNNNNNNNNNNNNNNNNNNNNNNNNNNNNNNNNNNNNNNNNNNNNNNNNNNNNNNNNNNNNNNNNNNNNNNNNNNNNNNNNNNNNNNNNNNNNNNNNNNNNNNNNNNNNNNNNNNNNNNNNNNNNNNNNNNNNNNNNNNNNNNNNNNNNNNNNNNNNNNNNNNNNNNNNNNNNNNNNNNNNNNNNNNNNNNNNNCCCUGCUGCGCCGGCCGCCGCGCCUGAGCCGCUCCUCCUUGCCGGCGCGCCCCUGCGUCCGGGCGACGCCGCGCUCGGGUUCGCCCCGUCGAGUGCCCGUGCCCGCGCCCAAUAACCCGCACCCGCUAUGGCCUAUGGGCCUAUGACAAACGGGGCCCAGCCCCAGAACUUUUUAUAAAAUAAAAGAAAAUAAAAUUAAAAAUGAAUUAAUAAAAUUAAUAAUUAAUUAAUUAGUGAAUUAAUUAAGUUAAUUAAUCAUGUUUAAUUAAUCUAAUUAACUAGUUAGUUGAAUUAAACGGUAAUUAGAUUAGCCAAAUCCUGAUUAACCUAAAUAGAGUAUGACAUGCGGGACCCACACGUCAGAUUGACCCAGUCAACACCCUAUUGACUGCUGACGUCAUGAUGACGUCAACAAACACUAUUCUGGAUAAUGUUAGAAUUAAAUAGAUAAAUAAAUUCAGAAAAUAAUUAAAACUUUAGAAAAACAUAGAAAAUAAACCGUAGCUCAGAUGAAAAUGUUUUCUACAUGAAAGUUGCUCGGAACGACGAGACGAAUCCCAAUACGUAGCCCGUUCGUCCGCCACACAUCCCUAACAUAUCGAACACGCAACUUUCCCCCUCCGGUUCAUCUGUCCGAAAACGCGAAACACCGGGAAUACUUUCCCGGAUGUUUUCCCCCUUCGCCGGUAUCACCUACUACCGCGUUUGGGCACCCCUAGCAACGCUCAUUGUCAUGUCAUGCAUCGUCAUGCAUAUGUUUGCAUUAUAUUUAUUGUUUCUUCCCCCUCUUCUCUCGCUAGACUCCGAGACCGACGCCGCUGCUACCCAGUACGACUACGGUGUUGACGACCCCUCCUUCUCGGCUGAGCUUCCAGGCAAGCCCCCCCUUAAUCACCAGAUAUCGCCUAUUCUUCUCUCUACUGCUUGCAUUAGAGUAGUGUAGCAUGUUACUGCUUUUCAUUAAUCCUAUCCUGAUGCAUAGCCUGUCCUUGGUACUACUGUUGUUACCUUUACCUGCAAACAUACAUGCUUAGUAUAGGAUGCUAGUAUUCCAUCAGUGGCCCUACCAUUCUUGUCCGUCUGCCAUGCUAUACUAUCGGGCCGUGAUCACUCGGGAGGCGAUCACGGGUAUAUACUAUGUACUUUAUACAUGAUACAUGUGGUGACUAAAGUCGGGUUGGCUCGUGGAGCACCCGCGAGUGAUUCACGGAUUGGGGGCUGAAAAGAACUUUGUCCUGACGGCCCUCUGUGUGGAUCUUUGUGGCGGAGCAACAGGGCAGGUUGAGACCACCUAGGAGAGAGGUGGGCCUGGCCCUGGUCGGCAUCCGCGGUUACUUCUAAAUAACACGCUUAACGAGAUAUUGGUAUUUGAUCUAAGUCUGGCCACUGGCCUAUACGCACUAACCAACUACGUGGGAACAGUUAUGGGCACUCGACGUCGUGGUAUUAGCCGAAGCCUUCGUGACGUCAGCGACUGAGCGGCGCGCGCCGGGUUGGACCGCGUAACGCAACUUCCUUUGAAAUGGAGGUUGCUAGGUCUGCUCUCCGGCCGCGUACGCAAGUUCAGGUGUGCAAUGGGCGAUGGGCCCAGACCCCUACGCGCAUAGGAUUUAGACCGGCGUGCUGACCUCUCUGUUGUGCCUAGGUGGGGCUGCGACGUGUUGAUCUUCCAAGGCCGGGCAUGACCGAGGAAAGUGUGUCCGACCAAAUGGGAUCGAGCGUGUUGGGUUAUGUGGUGCACCCCUGCAAGGAAGUUAAUCUAUUCGAAUAGCCGUGAUCUUCGGUAAUAGGACGACCCAGAGUUGUACCUUGACCUUAUGACAACUAGAACCGGAUACUUAAUAAAACACACCCUUCCAAGUGCCAGAUACCACCCGGUGAUUGCUCUCUCACAGGUCGACGAGGAGAGGAUCGUUGGGGUAGGAUUAUGCUAUGCGAUGAUACUUGGUGAACUUACCAUCUACUCUCUUCUAUAUGCUGCAAGAUGGAGGCUGCCAGAAGCGUAGUCUUCGACAGGACUAGCUAUCCCCCUCUUAUUCUGGCAUUCUGCAGUUCAGUCCACCAAUAUUGCCUCUUUACACAUAUACCCAUGCAUAUGUAGUGUAGAUCAUUGCUUGCGAGUACUUUGGAUGAGUACUCACGGUUGCUUUUCUCUCUCUUUUCCCCCUUUCCCUUCUACCUGGUUGUCGCAACCAGAUGCUGGAGCCCAGGAGCCAGACGCCACCGUCGACGAUGAUUCCUACUACACCGGAGGUGCCUACUACUACGUGCAGGCCGCUGACGACGACCAGGAGUAGUUUAGGAGGAUCCCAGGCAGGAGGCCUGCGCCUCUUUCGAUCUGUAUCCCAGUUUGUGCUAGCCUUCUUAAGGGAAACUUGUUUAACUUAUGUCUGUACUCAGAUAUUGUUGCUUCCGCUGACUCGUCUACGAUCGAGCACUUGUAUUCGAGCCCUCGAGGCCCCUGGCUUGUAUUAUGAUGCUUGUAUGACUUAUUUAUUUUUAGAGUUGUGUUGUGAUAUCUUUGAAGGAAAUAUGCCCUAGAGGCAAUAAUAAAGUUAUUAUUUAUUUCCUUAUUCUCAUGAUAAACGUUUAUUAUUCAUGCUAGAAUUGUAUUAACCAGAAACGUAAUACAUGUGUGAAUACAUAGACAAACAAAGUGUCACUAGUAUGCCUCUACUUGACUAGCUCGUUGAUCAAAGAUGGUUAUGUUUCCUAGCCAUUGACAUGAGUUGUCAUUUGAUUAACGGGAUGGCAUCAUUAGGAGAAUGAUGUGAUUGACUUGACCCAUUCCGUUAGCUUAGCACACGAUCGUUUAGUAUUCUGCUAUUGCUUUCUUCAUGACUUAUACAUGUUCCUAUGACUAUGAGAUUAUGGAACUCCCGUUUACCGGAGGAACACUUUGUGUGCUACCAAACGUCACAACGUAACUGGGUGAUUAUAAAGGUGCUCUACAAGUGUCUCCGAAGGUACUUGUUGGGUUGGUGUAUUUCGAGAUUAGGAUUUGUCACUCCGAUUGUCGGAGAGGUAUCUCUGGGCCCACUCGGUAAUGCACAUCACUAUAAGCCUUGCAAGCAUUGCAACUAAUGAGUUAGUUGCAGGAUGAUGUAUUACAGAACGAGUAAAGAGACUUGCCGGUAACGAGAUUGAACUAGGUAUUGAGAUACCGAUGAUCGAAUCUCGGGCAAGUAACAUACCGAUGACAAAGGGAACAACGUAUGUUGUUAUGCGGUCUGACCGAUAAAGAUCUUCGUAGAAUAUGUGGGAGCCAAUAUGAGCAUCCAGGUUCCGCUAUUGGUUAUUGACCGGAGACAUGUCUCGGUCAUGUCUACAUAGUUCUCGAACCCAUAGGGCCCGCACGCUUAAAGUUUGAUGACGGUUAUAUUAUGAGUUUAUGUGUUUUGAUGUACCGAAGUGAAGGAAAUAUGCCCUAGAGGCAAUAAUAAAGUUAUUAUUUAUUUCCUUAUAUCAUGAUAAAUGUUUAUUAUUCAUGCUAGAAUUGUAUUAACCGGAAACUUGAUACAUGUGUGAAUACAUAGACAAACAGAGUGUCACUAGUAUGCCUCUACUUGACUAGCUCGUUGAUCAAAGAUGGUUAUGUUUCCUAGCCGUAGACAUGAGUUGUCAUUUGAUUAACGGGAUCACAUCAUUAGGAGAAUGAUGUGAUUGACUUGACCCAUUCCGUUAGCUUAGCACUCGAUCGUUUAGUAUGUUGCUAGUGCUUUCUUCAUGACUUGUACAUGUUCCUAUGACUAUGAGAUUAUGCAACUCCCAUUUACCGGAGGAACACUUUGUGUGCUACCAAACGUCACAACGUAACUGGGUGAUUAUAAAGGUGCUCUACAGGUGUCUCCGAAGGUACUUGUUGGGUUGGCGUAUUUCGAGAUCAAGAUUUGUCACUCCGAUUGUCGGAGAGGUAUCUUUGGGCCCACUCGGUAAUGCACAUCACUAUAAGCCUUGCAAGCAUUGCAACUAAUGAGCUAGUUGCGGGAUGAUGUAUUACGGAACGAGUAAAGAGACUUGCCGGUAACGAGAUUGAACUAGGUAUUGAGAUACCGACGAUCGAAUCUCGGGCAAGUAACAUACCGAUGACAAAGGGAACAACGUAUGUUGUUAUGCGGUUUGACCGAUAAAGAUCUUCGUAGAAUAUGUGGGAGCCAAUAUGAGCAUCCAGGUUCCGCUAUUGGUUAUUGACCGGAGACGUGUCUCGGUCAUGUCUACAUAGUUCUCGAACCCGUAGGGUCCGCACGCUUAAAGUUAGAUGACGGUUAUAUUAUGAGUUUAUGUGUUUUGAUGUACCGAAGGAGUUCGGAGUCCCGGAUGAGAUCAGGGACAUGACGAGGAGUCUCGAAAUGGCCGAGACGUAAAGAUCGAUAUAUUGGACGACUAUAUUCGGACUUCGGAAAGGUUCCGAGUGAUUCGGGUAUUUAUCGGAGUACCGGAGAGUUACGGGAAUUCGCCGGGGAGAAGUAUUGGGCCUUAUUGGGCCAUACGGGAAUAGAGGCCAAAAGGAAGGUGGCGCGCACCCCCCCUCUGGUCCGAAUUGGACAAGGGGUGCAGCCCCCUUUUCCUUCUCCCUCUCCCCCUCUUUCCUUCUCUCCUACUCCAACAAGGAAAGGAGGAGUCCUACUCCUGGUGGGAGUAGGACUCCCCCCUUGGCGCGCCCUCCUCCUAGGCCGGCCGCCUCCCCCCUUGCUCCUUUAUAUACGGGGGCAGGGGGGCACCCCAAAGACACAACAAUUGAUCUCUUGAUCUCUUAGCCGUGUGCGGUGCCCCCCUUCACCAUAGUCCACCUCGAUAAUAUCGUAGCGGUGCUUAGGCGAAGCCCUGCGUCGGUAGAACAUCAUCAUCGUCACCACGCCGUCGUGUUGACGGAACUCUCCCUCAAAGCUCGGCUGGAUCGGAGUUCGAGGGACGUCAUCGAGCUGAACGUGUGCUGCUCGGAGGUGCCGUACGUUCGGUACUUGGAUCGGUCGGAUCGUGAAGACGUACGACUACAUCAACCGCGUUGUGCUAACGCUUCCGCUUUCGGUCUACUAGGGUACGUGGACAACACUCUCCCCUCUCGUUGCUAUGCAUCACCAUGAUCUUGCGUGUGCGUAGAAUUUUUUUGAAAUUACUAUGUUCCUCAACACGAAGAUAGUUCGGAGUCCCGGAUGUGAUCACAGACAUGACGAGGAGUCUCGAAAUGGCCGAGACAUAAAGAUUGAUAUAUUGGAAGCCUAUAUUUGGAUAUCGGAAGUGUUCCGGGUGAAAUCGAGAUUUAACUGGAGUAGCGGGGGUUACCGGAACCCCCCGGGGGGUUUAAUGGGCCUACAUGGGCCUUAGUGGAGAAGAGGAGGGGCAGCCAAGGCAGGCCGCGCGCCCCUCCCCCUCUAGUCCGAAUUGGACAAGGAGGGGGGGCGGCGCCCCCCUUUCCUUCCUCUCUCCCUCCUCCUUCCCCCUUCUCCUACUCCAACUAGGAAAGGAGGGAGUCCUACUCCCGGUGGGAGUAGGACUCCUCCUGGCGCGCCUCCUCCUGGCCGGCCGCCUCUCCCUCCCUUGCUCCUUUAUAUACGGGGGCAGGGGGCACCCCAUGGACACAAUAAUUGAUCUCUUGAUCUCUUAGCCGUGUGCGGUGCCCCCUCCACCAUAAUCCACCUCGAUAAUAUCAUAGCGGUGCUUAGGCGAAGCCCUGCGUUGGUAGAACAUCAUCAUCGUCACCACGCCGUCGUGCUGACGGAACUCUCCCUCAAAGCUCGGCUGGAUCGGAGUUCGAGGGACGUCAUCGAGCUGACGUGUGCUGAACUCGGAGGUGCCGUGAGUUCGGUACUUGAUCGGUCGGAUCGUGAAGACGUACGACUACAUAAACCGCGUUGUUCUAACACUUCCGCUUUUGGUCUACGAGGGUACGUGGACAACACUCUCCCCUCUUGUUGCUAUGCAUCACCAUGAUCUUGCAUGUGCGUCGGAAAAUUUUGAAAUUACUACGUUCCCAACAGUGGCAUCAGAGCCUGGUUUUAUGCGUAGAUGUUAUAUGCACGAGUAGAACACAAUUGAGUUGUGGGCGAUAUAAGUCAUACUGCUUACAGCAUGUCAUACUUUGGUUCGGCGGUAUUGUUGGAUGAAGCGGCCCGGACCGACAUUAUGCGUACGCUUAUGCGAGACAGGUGGCUGGCGGGUGUCAGUUUCUCCAACUUUAGUUGAACCGAGUGUGGGUACGCCCGGUCCUUGAGAAGGUUAAAAUAGCACUAACUUGACAAACUAUCGUUGUGAUUUUGAUGCGUAGGUAAGAACGGUUCUUGCUCAGCCCGUAGCAGCCACGUAAAACUUGCAACAACAAAGUAGAGGACGUCUAACUUGUUUUUGCAGGGCAUGUUGUGAUGUGAUAUGGUCAAGGCAUGAUGCUAUAUUUUAUAGUAUGAGAUGCUCAUGUUUUGUAACCGAGUUAUCAGCAACUGGCAGGAGCCAUAUGGUUGUCGCUUUAUUGUAUGCAAUGCAAUCGCCCUGUAAUGCUUUACUUUAUCACUAAGCGGUAGCGAUAGUCGUAGAAGCAUAAGUUGGCGAGACGACAACGAUGCUACGAUGGAGAUCAAGGUGUCGCGCCGGUGACGAUGGUGAUCAUGACGGUGCUUCAGAGAUGGAGAUCACAAGCACAAGAUGAUGAUGGCCAUAUCAUAUCACUUGUAUUGAUUGCAUGUGAUGUUUAUCUUUUAUGCAUCUUAUCUUGCUUUGAUUGACGGUAGCAUUAUAAGAUGAUCUCUCACUAAAUUAUCAAGGUAUAAGUGUUCUCCCUGAGUAUGCACCGUUGCGAAAGUUCUUCGUGCUGAGACACCACGUGAUGAUCGGAUGUGAUAGGCUCUACGUUCAAAUACAACGGGUGCAAAACAUUUGCACAAGCGGAAUACUCAGGUUAAACUUGACGAGCCUAGCAUAUGCAGAUAUGGCCUCGGAACACUGAGACCGAAAGGUCGAGCGUGAAUCAUAUAGUAGAUAUGAUCAACAUAGUGAUGUUCACCAUUGAAACUACUCCAUCUCACGUGAUGAUCAGACAUGGUUUAGUUGAUUUGGAUCACGUGAUCACUUAGAGGAUUAGAGGGAUGUCUAUCUAAGUGGGAGUUCUUAAGUAAUAUGAUUAAUUGAACUUAUCAUUAACUUAGUACCUGAUAGCAUUUUGCUUGUCUAUGUUGAUUGUAGAUAGAUGGCCCGUGCUGUUGUUCUGUUGAAUUUUAAUGCGUUCCUUGAGAAAGCAAAGUUGAAAGAUGAUGGUAGCAAUUACACGGACUAGGUCCGUAACUUGAGGAUUAUCCUCAUUGCUGCACAGAAGAAUUACGUCCUGGAAGCACCACUAGGUGCCAAACCUGCUGCAGGAGCAACACCAGAUGUUAUGAACGUCUGGCAGAGCAAGGCUGAUGACUACUCGAUAGUUCAGUGUGCCAUGCUUUACGGCUUAGAAUCGGGACUUCAACGACGUUUUGAACGUCAUGGAGCAUAUGAGAUGUUUCAGGAGUUGAAGUUAAUAUUUCAAGCAAAUGCCCGGAUUGGAGAUAUGAAGUCUCCAAUAAAUUCUACAGCUGUAAGAUGGAGGAGAAUAGUUCUGUCAGUGGGCAUAUACUCAGAAUGUCUGGGUAUAACAAUCACUUGAUUCAACUGGGAGUUCCGGAUGAUAGCGUCAUUGACUUCUUCAAUCACUACCACCAAGCAACAAGAGCUUCGUGAUGAACUAUAACAUGCAAGGGAUGGAUAAGACGAUUCCCGAGCUCUGCGCAAUGCUAAAGGCUGUGGAGGUAGAAAUCAAGAAGGAGCAUCAAGUGUUGAUGGUCAACAAGACCACCAGUUUCAAGAAAAAGGGCAAAGGAAAGAAGAAGGGGAACUUCAAGAAGAACAGCAAACAAGUUGCUGCUCAGGAGAAUAAACCCAAGUCUGGACCUAAGCCUGAGACUGAGUGCUUCUACUGCAAACAGACUGGUCACUGGAAGCGGAACUGCCCCAUGUAUUUGGCAGAUAAGAAGGAUGGCAAGGUGAACAAAGGUAUAUAUGAUAUACAUGUUAUUGAUGUGUACCUUAUUAAUGCUCGCGGUAGCACCUGGGUAUUUGGUACUGGUUCUGUUGCUAAUAUUUGCAACUCGAAACAGGGACUACGGAUUAAGCGAAGAUUGGCUAAGGACGAGGUGACGAUGCGCGUGGGAAAUGGUUCCAAAGUCAAUGUGAUCGCGGUCGGCACGCUACCUCUACAUCUACCUUCGGGAUUAAUUUUAGACCUGAAUAAUUGUUAUUUGGUGCCAGCGUUGAGCAUGAACAUUAUAUCUGGAUCUUGUUUGAUGCGAGACGGUUAUUCAUUUAAAUCAGAGAAUAAUGGUUGUUCUAUUUAUAUGAGUAAUAUCUUUUAUGGUCAUGCACCCUUGAAGAGUGGUCUAUUUUUGUUGAAUCUCGAUAGUAGUGAUACACAUAUUCAUAAUAUUGAAGCCAAAAGAUGCAGAGUUGAUAAUGAUAGUGCAACUUAUUUGUGGCACUGCCGUUUAGGUCAUAUUGGUGUAAAACGCAUGAAGAAACUCCAUACUGGUGGACUUUUGGAACCACUUGAUUAUGAAUCACUUGGUACUUGCGAACCGUGCCUCAUGGGCAAGAUGACUAAAAACGCCGUUCUCCAGAACUAUGGUGCGAGCAACAGAUUUGUUGGAAAUCAUACAUACAGAUGUAUGUGGACCGAUGAAUGUUGAGGCUCGCGGCGGGUAAGAAGAUAUGGGUAUAUCUACUUAAUGAAACAUAAGUCUGAAACAUUUGAAAAGUUCAAAGAAUUUCAGAGUGAAGUUGAAAAUCAUCAUAACAAGAAAAUAAAGUUUCUAUGAUCUGAUCGUGGAGGAGAAUAUUUGAGUUACGAGUUUGGUCUUCAUUUGAAACAAUGCGGAAUAGUUUCGCAACUCACGCCACCCGGAACACGAUAGCGUAAUGGUGUGUCCGAACGUCGUAAUCGUACUUUACUAGAUAUGGUGCGAUCUAUGAUGUCUCUUACUGAUUUACCACUAUCAUUUUGGGGUUAUGCUUUAGAGACGGCUGCAUUCACCUUAAAUAGGGCACCAUCGAAAUCCGUUGAGACGACGCCUUAUGAACUGUGGUUUGGAAGAAACCAAAGUUGUCGUUUCUUAAAGUUUGGGGCUGUGAUGCUUAUGUGAAAAAGCUUCAACCUGAUAAGCUCGAACCCAAAUCGGAGAAAUGUGUCUUCAUAGGAUACCCAAAGGAAACUGUUGGGUACACCUUCUAUCACAGAUCUGAAGGCAAGACUUUUGUUGCUAAAUUUGGAUCCUUUCUAGAGAAAGAGUUUCUCUCGAAAGAAGUGAGUGGGAGGAAAGUAGAACUUGAUGAGGUAACUGUACCUGCUCCCUUAUUGGAAAGUAGUUCAUCACAGAAACCGGUUCCUGUGACACCUACACCAAUUAGUGAGGAAGUUAAUGAUGAUGAUCAUGAAACUUCAGAUCAAGUUGUUACUGAACCUCGUAGGUCAACCAGAGUAAGAUCCGCACCAGAGUGGUACGGUAAUUCUGUUCUGGAGGUUAUGUUACUAGACCAUGACGAACCUACGAACUAUGAAGAAGUGAUGGUGAGCCCAGAUUCCGCGAAAUGGCUUGAGGCCAUGGAAUCUGAGAUGUGAUCCAUGUAUGAGAACAAAGUGUGGACUUUGGUUGACUUGCCCGAUGAUCGGCAAGCCAUAGAAAAUAAAUUGAUCUUCAAGAGGAAGACGGACGCUGAUAGUAGUGUUACUAUCUACAAAGCUAGACUUGUCGAAAAAGGUUUUGACAAAGUUCAAGGUAUUGACUAUGAUGAGAUUUUCUCACUCGUAGCGAUGCUUAAGUCUGUCCGAAUCAUGUUAGCAAUUGCCGCAUUUUAUGAAAUUUGGCAAAUGGAUGUCAAAACUGCAUUCCUUAAUGGAUUUCUUAAAGAAGAGUUGUAUAUGAUGCAACCAGAAGGUUUUGUCAAUCCAAAAGAUGCUAACAAAGUGUGUAAGCACUAGUGAUCCAUUUAUGGACUGGUGCAAGCAUCUCGGAGUUGGAAUAUACGUUUUGAUAGUGUGAUCAAAGCAUAUAGUUUUAUACAGACUUGCGGUGAAGCCUGUAUUUACAAGAAAGUGAGUGGGAGCACUACAGCCUUUUUGAUAAGUAUAUGUGAAUGACAUAUUGUUGAUCGGAAAUGAUGUAGAAUUUUCUAGAAAGCAUAAAGGAGUAUUUGAAAGGAGUUUUUUCAAAGAAAGACCUCGGUGAAGCUGCUUACAUAUUGAGCAUCAAGAUCUAUAGAGAUAGAUCAAGACGCUUGAUAAGUUUUUUCAAUGAGUACAUACCUUGACAAGAUUUUGAAGUAGUUCAAAAUGGAACAGUCAAAGAAAGAGUUCUUGCCUGUGUUACAAAGUGUGAAAUUGAGUAAGACUCAAAGCCCGACCACGGCAGAAGAUAGAAAGAGAAUGAAAGUCAUUCCCUAUGACUCAGCCAUAGGUUCUAUAAAGUAUGCCAUGCUGUGUACCAGAUCUAUUGUAUACCCUACACUGAGUUUAGCAAGGGAGUACAAUAGUGAUCUAGGAGUAGAUCACUGGACAACGGUCAAAAUUAUCCUUAGUGGAAUAAGGAUAUGUUUCUCGAUUAUGGAGGUGACAAAAGGUUCGUCGUAAAGGGUUACGUCGAUGCAAGUUUUGACACUGAUCCAGAUGACUCUACUUCUCAAUCUGGAUACAUAUUGAAAGUGGGAGCAAUUAGCUUGAGUAGCUCCGUGCAGAGCAUUGUUGACAUAGAAAUUUGCAAAAUACAUACGGAUCUGAAUGUGGCAGACCCGUUGACUAAACUUCUCUCACAAGCAAAACAUGAUCACACCUUAGUACUCUUUGGGUGUUAAUCACAUAGCGAUGUGAACUAGAUUAUUGACUAGUAAACCCUUUGGGUGUUGGUCACAUGACGAUGUGAUCUAUGGGUGUUAAUCACAUGGUGAUGUGAACUAUUGGUGUUAAAUCACAUGGCGAUGUGAACUAGAUUAUUGACUCUAGUGCAAGUGGGAGUCUGAAGGAAAUAUGCCCUAGAGGCAAUAAUAAAGUUAUUAUUUAUUUCCUUAUUCUCAUGAUAAAUGUUUAUUAUUCAUGCUAGAAUUGUAUUAAUCAGAAACAUAAUACAUGUGUGAAUACAUAGACAAACAAAGUGUCACUAGUAUGCCUCUACUUGACUAGCUCGUUGAUCAAAUAUGGUUAUGUUUCCUAGCCAUUGACAUGAGUUGUCAUUUGAUUAACGGGAUCACAUCAUUAGGAUAAUGAUGUGAUUGACUUGACCCAUUCCGUUAGCUUAGCACACGAUCGUUUAGUAUUCUGCUAUUGCUUUCUUCAUGACUUAUACAUGUUCCUAUGACUAUGAGAUUAUGCAACUCCCGUUUACCGGAGGAACACUUUGUGUGCUACCAAACGUCACAACGUAACUGGGUGAUUAUAAAGGUGCUCUACAGGUGUCUCCGAAGGUACUUGUUGGGUUGGCGUAUUUCGAGAUUAGGAUUUGUCACUCCGAUUGUCGGAGAGGUAUCUCUGGGCCCACUCGGUAAUGCACAUCACUAUAAGCCUUGCAAGCAUUGCAACUAAUGAGUUAGUUGCGGGAUGAUGUAUUACAGAACGAGUAAAGAGACUUGCCGGUAACGAGAUUGAACUAGGUAUUGAGAUACCUAUAGGGGAACGUAGCAAUAAUUCAAAAUUUUCCUACGUGUCACCAAGAUCAAUCUAGGAGUUGCUAGCAACGAGAGAGAGGGAGUGCAUCUUCAUACCCUUGAAUAUCGCUAAGCAGAAGCGUUACAAGAACGCGGUUGAUGGAGUCGUACUCGCGGCGAUUCAAAUCGCGAAAGAUCUGAUCUAGCGCCGAACGGACGGCGCCUCCGCGUUCAACACACGUACAGCCCGGGGGCGUCUCCUCCUUCUUGAUCCAGCAAGGGGAGAGGAGAAGUUGAGGGAGAACUCCAGCAGCACGACGGCGUGGUGGCAAUGGAGCUCAUGGUUCUCCGGCAGAGCUUCGCUAAGCACUACGGAGGAGGAGGAGGAGGUGUAUGAGGAGGGAGGGCUGCGCCAGGGAAGAGGUGCGGCUGCCCUCCCACCCCUCCACUAUAUAUAGGGGCAAGGGGAGAGGGGGAGGCGCCCUAGGGUUACCCCUAGGGGGCGGCGACCAAGCAGAUUGGAUCUCCCUAGGGAAAAUCCUAGGGAGACUUGCCCCCCAAGCCAAGCAGGUGGAGGCUUGCCCCCCAAGCCAGGUGGAGGCGCCCCACCUCCCCAAGUAACGUGGGAAAGGGUGUGGGGGGCGCACCACCCCUUAGUGGGCUGGUUUGCCCCUUCCCCUUUGGCCCAUGAGGCCCUCCAACACUUGCCGGGGCUCCCGAAACAACUUUCGGUCAUGCUGGCCAUAGCCUGGUACCCCCGGAACACUUCCGGACUCCAAUACCCUUCGUCCAAUAUAUCGAUCUUCACCGCCGGACCAUUCCGGAACUCCUCGUGAUGUCCGAGAUCUUAUCCGGGACUCCGAACAACCUUCGGUAACCACAUACUAUUUCCCAUAACAACUCUAGCGUCACCGAACCUUAAGUGUGUAGACCCUACGGGUUCAGGAACCAUGCAGACAUGACCGAGACACCUCUCCGGCCAAUAACCAAUAGCGGGAUCUGGAUACCCAUAUUGGCUCCCACAUGUUCCACGAUGAUCUCAUCGGAUGAACCACGAUGUCGGGGAUUCAAUCAAUCCCGUAUACAAUUCCCUUUGUCUAUCGGCAUGUUGCUUGCCCGAGAUUCGAUCGUCGGUAUCCCAAUACCUCGUUCAAUCUUGUUACCGGCAAGUCUCUUUACUCGUUCCGUAACGCAUGAUCCCGUGGCUAACUCCUUAGUCACAUUGAGCUCAUUAUGAUGAUGCAUUACCGAGUGGGCCCAGAGAUACCUCUCCGUCAUACGGAGUGACAAAUCCCAGUCUCGAUUCGUGCCAACCCAACAGACACUUUCGGAGAUACCUGUAGUGCACCUUUAUGUUGGGAAUCGUAGCAUAAUUUAAAAUUUUCCUACGCUCACCAAGAUGCAUCUAUGGAGUCUACUAGCCACGAGGGGAAAAGAGUGCAUCUACAUACCCUUGUAGAUCGCGAGCGGAAGCGUUCCAAUGAACGUGGAUGACGGAGUCGUACUCGCCGUGAUCCAAAUCACCGAUGACCGAGUGCCGAACGGACGGCACCUCCGCGUUCAACACACGUACGAUGCAGCGACAUCUCCUCCUUCUUGAUCCAGCAAGGGAGAAGGAGAGGUUGAUGGAGAUCCAGCAGCACGACGGCGUGGUGUUGGAUGUAGCGGGUCUCCGGCAGGGCUUCGCCAAGCUUCUGCGAGAGAGAGAGAGAGAGGUGUUGCAGGGGAGGAGGGAGGCGCCCAAGGCUGUAGUUUGCUGCCCUCCCUCCCCCCACUAUUUAUAGGACCCCUGGGGGGCGCCAGCCCUUGGGAGAUCAGAUCUCCAAGGGGGGCGGCGGCCAAGUGGGGGGGAAGGGGUGCCUUGCCCCCCAAGGCAAGGGGGAAGCUCCCCCCCCUAGGGUUCCCAACCCUAGGCGCAUGGGGGAAGGCCCAAGGGGGCGCCCCAGCCCACUAAGGGCUGGUUCCCUUCCACUUUCAGCCCACGGGGCCCUCCGGGAUAGGUGGCCCCACCCGGUGGACCCCCGGGACCCUUCCGGUGGUCCCGGUACAAUACCGGUAACCCCCGAAACUUUCCCGGUGGCCGAAACUUGACUUCCUAUAUAUAAUUCUUCACCUCCGGACCAUUCUAGAACAUCUCGUGACGUCCGGGAUCUCAUCCGGGACUCCGAACAACUUUCGGGUUUCCGCAUACAUAUAUCUCUACAACCCUAGCGUCACCGGACCUUAAGUGUGUAGACCCUACGGGUUCGGGAGACAUGCAGACAUGACCGAGACGCCUCUCCGGUCAAUAACCAACAGCGGGAUAUGGAUACCCAUGUUGGCUCCCACAUGUUCCACGAUGAUCUCAUCGGAUGAACCACGGUGUCGAGGAUUCAAUCAAUCCGUAUGCAAUUCCCUUUGUCAAUCGGUAUGUUACUUGCCCGAGAUUCGAUCGUCGGUAUCCCAAUACCUUGUUCAAUCUCGUUACCGGCAAGUCUCUUUACUCGUACCGCAAUGCAUGAUCCCGUGACUAACGCCUUAGUCACAUUGAGCUCAUUAUGAUGAUGCAUUACCGAGUGGGCCCAGAGAUACCUCUCCGUCACACGGAGUGACAAAUCCCAGUCUCGAUCCGUGCCAACCCAACAGACACUUUCGGAGAUACCCGUAGUGCACCUUUACAGUCACCCAGUUACAUUGUGACGUUUGGCACACCCAAAGCACUCCUACGGUAUCCGGGAGUUGCACGAUCUCAUGGUCUAAGGAAAAGAUACUUGACAUUGGAAAAGCUCUAGCAAACGAAACUACACGAUCUUUUAUGCUAUGCUUAGGAUUGGGUUUUGUCCAUCACAUCAUUCUCCUAAUGAUGUGAUCUCGUUAUCAAUGACAUCCAAUGUCCAUAGUCAGGAAACCAUGACUAUCUGUUGAUCAACGAGCUAGUCAACUAGAGGCUUACUAGGGACAGGUUGUGGUCUAUGUAUUCACACAUGUAUUACGAUUUCCGGACAAUACAAUUAUAGCAUGAAUAAUAGACAAUUACCAUGAACAAAGAAAUAUAAUAAUAACCAUUUAUUAUUGCCUCUAGGGCAUAUUUCCAACAGUCUCCCAAUUGCACUAGAGUCAAUAAUCUAGUUCACAUCACCAUGUGACUAACACUCACUGUUCACAUCACCAUGUGACCAACAUCUAAAGAGUUUACUAGAGUCAACAAUCUAGUUCACAUCACUAUGUGAUUAUCACUCAAUUUGUUCAGGUUUGGUCAUGUUAUGCUUGUGAGAGAGGUUAUUAGUCAACGGGUCUGAACCUUUCAGAACCGUGUGCUUUACGAAUAUCUAUGUCAUCUUUGUGGAUGCUACCACGCGCUAUUUGGAGCCAUUUCAAAUAAUUGCUCUACUAUACGAAUCCGGUUUACUACUCAGUGUCAUCCGGAUUAGUGUCAAAGUUCGCAUCGACGUAACCCUUUAUGACGAACUCCUUUCCACCUCCAUAAUCGAGAAAAUUCCUUAAUCCACUAGGUACUAAGGAUAAGUUCGACCGCUGUCAUGAGAUCCUUUCCCGGAUCACCAUUGUACCCUCUUGACCAACUCAUGGCAAGGCACACUACAUGUGCGGUACACAGCAUAGCAUACUAUAGAGCCUACGUCUAAAGCAUAGGGGACGACCUUCGUCCUUUCUCUAUCUUCUGCUGUGGUCAGGUCUUGAGUCUCACUCAAUACUCACACCUUGUAACACAGCCAAGAACUCCUUCUUUGCUGAUCUAUUUUGAACUCUUUCAAAAUCAUGUCAAGGUGUGCUGUCUUUUGAAAGUAUCAUCAGGCGUCUUGAUCUAUCUCUAUGGAUCUUGAUGCCCAAUAUGUAAGUAGCUUUAUCCAGGUCUUCCUUUGAAAAACUCCUUUCAAACAACCCUUUAUGCUUUCUAGAAAUUUUACAUCAUUUCGGAUCAACAAUAUGUCAUUCACAUAUACUCAUCAGAAAUGUUGUAGCGCUCCCACUCACUUUAUUUGUAAAUACAAGUUUCUAACAAACUUUGUAUAAACCCAAAAACUUUGAUCACCCCAUCAAAGCGUAUAUUCUGACUCCGAGAUGCUUGCUCUAAUCCAUGGAAGGAUCGCUGGAGCUAGCAUACCUUUUAGCAUCCUUAGGAUCGACAAAACCUUUCUGAUUGUAUCACAUACAACCUUUCCUUACGAAAACUGGUAAGGAAACUUGUUUUGACAUCCAUCUGCCAGAUUUCAUAAAUGUAGCUAAUGCUAACAUGAUUCCGACGGACCUAAGCAUCGCUACGGAUGAGAAAAACUCAUCGUAGUCAACUCCUUGAACUUGUGAAAAUACUCUUUGCCACAAGUCGAGCUUCAUAGACGGUAACAUUACCGUCCAUGUCCGUCUUCUUCUUAAAGAUCCAUUUAUCUCAAUGGCUUGCCGAUCAUCGGGCAAGUUCACCAAGGUCCAUGCUUUGUUCUGAUACAUGGAUUCUAUCUCGGAUUUCAUGGCCUCGAGCCAUUCGUCGGAAUAUGGGCCCACCAUCGCUUCUCCAUAGCUCGUAGGUUCAUUGUUGUCUAGCAACAUGACUUCCAAGAUAGGAUCACGCAUUACUCUGAAGUAGUGCGCAUCCUCGUCGUCCUACGAGGUUUGGUAGCGACUUGAUCCGAAGUUUCAUGAUCACUAUCAUAAGCUUCCCCUUCAAUUGGUGUAGGUGCCACAGGAACAACUUCCUGUGCCCUGCUACACACUAGUUGAAGCGACGGUUCAAUAACCUAAUCAAGUCUCCACCAUCCUCCCACUCAAUUCUUUCGAGAGAAACUUUUCCUCGAGAAAGGACUCGUUUCUAGAAGCAAUUACUUUUGCUUCCAGAUCUGAAAUAGGAGGUAUACUCAACUGUUUUUGGGUAUUCUAUGAAGAUGCAUUUAUCCGCUUUGGGUUUGAGCUUAUCAGCCUGAAACUUUUUCACAUAAGCAUCGCAGCCCCAAACUUUUAAGAAACGACAACUUAGGUUUCUAUAAGCGGUGUCGUCUCAACGGAAUUGCGUGGUGCCCCUUUUAAAGUGAAUGCGGUUGUCUCUAAUGCCUAACCCAUAAAUGAUAGUGGUAAUUUGAUAAGAAACAUCAUGGUAUGCACCAUAUCCAAUAGGGUGCAGUUAUGAUGUUCGGACACACCAUCACACUAUGGUGUUCCAGGCGGUAUUAAUUGUGAAACACUUUCCACAAUGUCUCAAUUGUGUGCCAAACUCGUAUCUCAGAACUCGUAUCUCAGAUACUCAUCUCUAUGAUCAUAUCACAGACAUAUUAUCCUCUUGUCACGACGAUCUUCAACUUCACUCUGAAAUUACUUGAACCUUUCAAUAAUUCAGACUAGUGUUUCAUCAAGUAAAUACACUCAGCAUCUACUCAAAUCAUCUGUGAAGUAAGAACAUAAUGAUAUCCACUGCAUGCCUCAGCACUCAUUGGACUGCGUACAUCAAAAUGUAUUACUUCCAAUAAGUUGCUCUCUUGUUCCAUCUCACUGAAAACGAGGACUUUCAGUCAUUUUGCCCAUGUGGUAUGAUUUGCAUGUCUCAAGUGAUUCAUAAUCAAGUGAGUCCAAAUGAUCCAUCUGUAUGGAGUUUCUUCAUGCAUAUAUACCAAUAGACAUGGUUCGCAUGUCUCAAUCUUUUCAAAAACGAUUGAGUCCAAAGAUCCACCUACAUGGAGCUUCUUCAUGCGUUCUACACCAAUAUGACUCAAGUGGCAGUGCCACAAGUAUGUGGUACUAUCAUUACUAUCUUAUAUCUUUUGGCAUGAACAUGUGUAUCACUACGAUCGAGAUUCAUUUUAGGUGCAAGACCAUUGAAGGUAUUAUUCAAAUAAACAGAGUAACCAUUAUUCUCCUUAAAUGAAUAACCGUUUUGCGGUAAACAUAAUCCAAUCAUGUUCAACGCAAACACCAAAUCUCGAUGGUAGAGGGAGCAUGCGAUGCUUGAUCACAUCAACCUUGGAAAAACACAUAUCGUCAUCUCACCUUUAGCUAGUCUCCAUUUAUUCCGCAGCUUUUAUUUCGAGUUACUAACACUUAGCAACCGAACCGGUAUCUAAUACCCUGGUGCUGCUAGGAGUACUAGUAAAGUACACAUUCAUAUAACGUAUAUCCAAUAUACUUCUGUCGACCUUGCCUGCCUUCUCAUCUACCAAUUAUCUAGGGUAGUACUACUUCAGUGACCGUUCCUCUCAAUACAGAAGCACUUAGUCUCGGGUUUGGGUUCAACCUUGGGAUUCUUCGCUAGAGCAGCAAACGACUUGCUGUUUCAUGAAGUAUCCCUUUUGCCCUUGCCCUUCUUAAACUAGUGGUUUUACUAACCAUCAACAAUUGAUGCUCCUUCUUGAUUUCUACUCUCGCGGUGUCAAACAUCGCGAAUAGCUCAAGGAUCAUCAUAACUAUCCUUGAUAUGUUAUAGUUCAUCACGAAGCUCUACUAGCUUGGUGGCAGUGACUAUGGAGAACUAUCACUAUCUCAUCUGGGAGAUUAACUCCCACUCGAUUCAAGCGAUUGUGGCACUCAGACAAUCUGAGCACAUGCUCAACGAUUGAGCUUUUCUCCCUUAGUUUGCAGGCUUAAGAAACUUGUCAGAGGUCUCAUACCUCUUGACGUGGGCACUAGUCUGAAAUCCCAAUUUCAGUCUUCGGAACAUCUCACAUGUUCUGCGACGUUUCAAAAAACGUCUUUGGUGCCACAAUUCUAAACCGCACUGAACUAUCACGUAGUCAUCAAAACGUGUAUGUCAGAUGUUUCGUAACAUCUACAGACGACGCUGAGGUUCAGCACACCGAGCGGUGCAUUAAGGACAUAAGCCUUCUGUGCAGCAAUGAGGACAAUCCUCAGUUUACGGACCCAGUCUGCAUAAUUGCUACUACCAACUUUCAACUAAAUUUUCUCUAGUAACAUAUCUUAACCAGUAGAACUAAAGCGCAAGCUAUGACAUAAUUUGCAAAUACCUUUUUGACUAUGUUCAUGAUAAUGUAGUUCAUCUGAUUAUGAACUCCCACUCAGAUAGACAUCCCUCUAGUCAUCUAAGUGAAACAUGAUCCGAGUUUAACUAGGCCGUGUCCGAUCAUCACGUGAGACGGACUAGUCAAGAUCGGUGAACAUCUCCAUGUUGAUCGUAUCUUCUAUACGACUCAUGCUCGACCUUUCGGUCCUCCAUGUUCCGAGGCCAUGUCUGUACAUGCUAGGCUCGUCAAGUCAACCUAAGUGUAUUGCGUGUGUUCCGAGGCCAUGUCUGUACAUGCUAGGCUCGUCAACACCCGUUGUAUUCGAACGUUAGAAUCUAUCACACCCGAUCAUCACGUGGUGCUUCGAAACAACGAACCUUCGCAACGGUGCACAGUUAGGGUGAACACUUUCUUGAAAUUAUUAUAAGGGAUCAUCUUACUUACUACCGUCGUUCUAAGCAAAUAAGAUGCAAAUACAUGAUAAACAUCACAUGCAAUCAAAUAGUGACAUGAUAUGGCCAAUAUCAUCAUGCUCCUUUGAUCUCCAUCUUCGGGGCACCAUGAUUAUCUUCGUCACCGGCAUGACACCAUGAUCUCCAUCAUCAUGAUCUCCAUCAUUGUGUCUUCAUGAAGUCGUCACGCCAAUGAUUACUUCUACUUCUAUGGCUAACGCGUUUAGCAACAAAGUAAAGUAAUUUACAUGGCGUUAUUCAAUGACACGCAGAUCAUGCAAAAUAAUAAAGACAACUCCUAUGGCUCCUGCCGGUUGUCAUACUCAUCAACAUGCAAGUCGUGAUUCCUAUUACAAGAAUAUGAUCAAUCUCAUACAUCACAUAUAUCAUUCAUCACAUCUUCUGGCCAUAUCACAUCACAUAGCACUUGCUGCAAAAACAAGUUAGACGUCCUCUAAUUGUUGUUGCAAGUUAUUUACGUGGUUUGUAGGUUUCUAGCAAGAACGUUUCUUACCUACGUAUGACCACAACGUGAUUUGCCAAUUUCUAUUUACCCUUCAUAAGGACCCUUUUCAUCGAAUCCGUUCCGACUAAAGUAGGAGAGACAGACACCCGCUAGCCACCUUAUGCAACUUGUGCAUGUCAGUCGGUGGAACCUGUCUCACGUAAGUGUACGUGUAAGGUCGGUCCGGGCCGCUUCAUCCUACAAUGCCACCGAAACAAGAAAAGACUAGUAGCGGCAAGAAUUAUUGGCAAACUAAACGCCAACAACUGCUUUGUGUUCUACUCGUGCAUAGUAACUACGCAUAGACCUGGCUCAUGAUGCCACUGUUGGGAAUCGUAGCAUAAUUUAAAAUUUUCCUACUCUCACCAAGAUGCAUCUAUGGAGUCUACUAGCAACGAGGGGAAAAGAGUGCAUCUACAUACCCUUGUAGAUCGCGAGCGGAAGCGUUCCAAUGAACGUGGAUGACGGAGUCGUACUCGCCGUGAUCCAAAUCACCGAUGACCGAGUGCCGAACGGACGGCACCUCCGCGUUCAACACACGUACGGUGCAGCGACGUCUCCUCCUUCUUGAUGCAGCAAGGGAGAAGGAGAGGUUGAUGGAGAUCCAGCAGCACGACGGCGUGGUGGUGGAUGUAGCGGGUCUCCGGCAGGGCUUCGCCAAGCUUCUGCGAGAGAGAGAGAGGUGUUGCAGGGGAGGAGGGAGGCGCCCAAGGCUGUAGUUUGCUGCCCUCCCUCCCCCCACUAUUUAUAGGACCCCUGGGGGGGCGCCAGCCCUUGGGAGAUCAGAUCUCCAAGGGGGGCGGCGGCCAAGUGGGGGGGGGAGGGGUGCCUUGCCCCCCAAGGCAAGGGGGAAGCUCCCCCCUAGGGUUCCCAACCCUAGGCGCAUGGGGGAAGGCGCAUGGGGGCGCCCCAGCCCACUAAGGGCUGGUUCCCUUCCACUUUCAGCCCACGGGGCCCUCCGGAAUAGGUGGCCCCACCCGGUGGACCCCCGGGACCCUUCCGGUGGUCCCGGUACAAUACCGGUAACCCCCGAAACUUUCCCGGUGGCCGAAACUUGACUUCCUAUAUAUAAUUCUUCACCUCCGGAACCUCUCGUGACGUCCGGGAUCUCAUCCGGGACUCCGAACAACUUUCGGGUUUCCGCAUACAUAUAUCUCUACAACCCUAGCGUCACCGGACCUUAAGUGUGUAGACCCUACGGGUUCGGGAGACAUGCAGACAUGACCGAGACGCCUCUCCGGUCAAUAACCAACAGCGGGAUCUGGAUACCCAUGUUGGCUCCCACAUGUUCCACGAUGAUCUCAUCGGAUGAACCACCGUGUCGAGGAUUCAAUCAAUCCGUAUGCAAUUCCCUUUGUCAAUCGGUAUGUUACUUGCCCGAGAUUCGAUCGUCGGUAUCCCAAUACCUUGUUCAAUCUCGUUACCGGCAAGUCUCUUUACUCGUACCGCAAUGCAUGAUCCCGUGACUAACGCCUUAGUCACAUUGAGCUCAUUAUGAUGAUGCAUUACCGAGUGGGCCCAGAGAUACCUCUCCGUCACACGGAGUGACAAAUCCCAGUCUCGAUCCGUGCCAACCCAACAGACACUUUCGGAGAUACCCGUAGUGCACCUUUAUAGUCACCCAGUUACGUUGUGACGUUUGGCACACCCAAAGCACUCCUACGGUAUCCGGGAGUUGCACGAUCUCAUGGUCUAAGGAAAAGAUACUUGACAUUGGAAAAGCUCUAGCAAACGAAACUACACGAUCUUUUAUGCUAUGCUUAGGAUUGGGUCUUGUCCAUCACAUCAUUCUCCUAAUGAUGUGAUCCCGUUAUCAAUGACAUCCAAUGUCCAUAGUCAGGAAACCAUGACUAUCUGUUGAUCAACGAGCUAGUCAACUAGAGGCUUACUAGGGAUAGGUUGUGGUCUAUGUAUUCACACAUGUAUUACGAUUUCCAAACAAUACAAUUAUAGCAUGAAUAAUAGACAAUUACCAUGAACAAAUAAAUAUAAUAAUAACCAUUUAUUAUUGCCUCUAGGGCAUAUUUCCAACACUUUAUAGCCACCCAGUUACGUUGUGACGUUUGGUACACCCAAAGCAUUCCUACGGUAUCCGGGAGUUGCACAAUCUCAUGGUCUAAGGAAACGAUACUUGACAUUAGAAAAAGCUCUUAGCAAAUGAACUACACGAUCUUGUGCUAUGCUUAGGAUUAGGUCUUGUCCAUCACAUCAUUCUCCUAAUGAUGUGAUCCCGUUAUCAAUGACAUCCAAUGUCCAUGGUCAGGAAACCAUAACCAUCUAUUGAUCAACUAGCUAGUCAACUAGAGGCUUACUAGGGACAUGUUGUGGUCUAUGUAUUCACACAUGUAUUACGGUUUCCAGUUAAUACAAUUAUAGCAUGAACAAUAGACAAUUAUCAUGAACAAGGAAAUAUAAUAAUAACCAUUUUAUUAUUGCCUCUAGGGCAUAUUUCCAACAGUCUCCCACUUGCACUGGAGUCAAUAAUCUAGUUCACAUCACUAUGUGAUUGUAAUGAAUCCAACACCUGUGGGGUUUGUUCAUAUCUCGCUUGUGAGAGAGGUUACUAGUCAACGGGUCUGAACCUUUCAGAUCCGUGUGUGCUUUACAAAUCUCUAUGUCAUCUUGUAGAUGCAGCUACCACGCGCUACUUGGAGCUAUUCCAAAUAACUGCUCUACUAUACGAAUCCGGUUUACUACUGAGAGUCAUCCGGAUAGUGUCAAAGUUUGCAUCGACGCAACCCUUUACGACGAACUCUUUCACCACCUCAUAAUCAAGAAAAUUCCUUAGUCCACUAGUUACUAAGGAUAAGUUCGACCGCUAUCAUGUGAUCCAUUGCUGGAUCACUCUUGUACCCCUUGACUGACUCAUGGCAAGGUACACUUCAGGUGCGGUACACAGCAUAGCAUACUGUAGAGCCUACGUCUAAAGCAUAGGGGACGACCUUCAUCCUUUCUCUCUCUUCUACCGUGGUCAGGUCUUGAGUCUUACUCAAUACUCACACCUUGUAACACAGCCAAGAACUCCUUCUUUGGUGAUCUAUUUUGAACUCCUUCAAAAUCCUAUCACGGUAUGCAUUCAUUUGAAAGUACUAUUAAGCGUUUUUGAUCUAUCCUUACAGAUCUUGAUGCUCAAUGUUCAAGUAGCUUAAUCCAGGUUUCGCAUUGAAAAACACUUUUCAAAUAACCCUGUAUGUUUUCCAGAAAUUCUACAUCAUUUCUGGUCAACAAUAUGUCAACAACAUAUACUCAUCAGAAAUUCUAUAGUGCUCCCACUCACUUCUUUGGAAAUACAAGUUUCUCAUAAACUUUGUAUAAACCCAAAAUCUUUGAUCAUCUCAUCAAAGCGCACAUUGCAACUCUGAGAUGCUUACUCCAAUCCUUAGAAGGAUUGCUGGAGCUUUGCAUACUUGUUAGCAUCUUUCAGGAUUGACAAAACCUUCUGGUUGUAUCACAUACAACCUUUCCUCAAGAAAAUCAUCGAGGAAACAAUGUUUUGACAUCCUAUUUGCAAGAUUUCAUAAAUAAUGCAGUAACUGCUAAUAUAAUUCCAACAGACUCUUAGCAUCGCUACGAGUGAGAAAGUCUCAUCGCAGUCAACUCCUUGAACUUGCCGGAAAACAUCUUAACGACAAGUCGAGCUUUCUUAAUGGUGACACUUACCAUCAUUGUCUGUCUUCCUUUUAAAAUCCAUCUGCACCCAACAGCCUUACGACCAUCAAAUAGUUCUUCCAAAGUUUAUACUUUGUUUUUAUAUAUGGAUCCUCUCUCGGAUUUUAUGGCCUCGAGCCAUUUGUCGGAAUCUGGGCCCACCAUCGCUUCUCCAUAGCUCGUAGGUUCAUUGUUGUCUAGCAACAUGACUUCCAAGACAGGAUUACGUACCACUCUGAAGUAGUACGCAUCCUUGUCGUCCUACGAGGUUUUGGUAUUGACUUGAUCCGAAGUUUCAUGAUCACUAUCAUAAGCUUCCACUUCAAUUGGUGUAGGUGCCACAGGAACAACUUCUUGUGCCCUGCUACACACUAGUUGAAGUGACGGUUCAAUAACCUCAUCAAGUCUCCACCAUCCUCCCACUCAAUUCUUUCGAGAGAAACUUUUCCUCGAGAAAGGACCCGUUUCUAGAAACAAUCACUUUUGCUUCCAGAUCUGAAAUAGGAGGUAUACCCAACUGUUUUGGGUAUUCUAUGAAGAUGCAUUUAUCCGCUUUGGGUUCGAGCUUAUUAGCCUAAUUUUUUUUUCACAUAAGCGUUGCAGUCCCAAAUUUUUAAGAAACGACAGCUUAGGUUUCUCUAAACCAUAGUUCAUACGGUGUCGUCUCAACGGAAUUGCGUGGUGCCCUAUUUAAAGUGAAUGCGGUUGUCUCUAAUGCCUAACCCAUAAACGAUAGUGUAAUUCGAUAAGAGACAUGUAGCGACCAGACCUCAAAUGGUCUGUGCUGCUGUGCACCAGUGUCAUCCCUGGAUCAGUAAUGCUGACACGCACAGUACAAAUGGAGGAUUUAUAACAGAGUAGCAAUCACACACUUAUUACAUCGAAUAUCUCCAAAGAGAAUAAGUAUGAUAAACAUGGCUUAAGGCCAUCUAAUAACGAUAACAGCGGAAGACUUGGAAGAUAAGUGAGUCCAUCAACUCCAGCGGCAUCACUGAGUAUAAGACCACGACCUAAGGCACCUUACUCGUCGUCUGAAAAGUCUGCAACAUGAAACGUUGCAGCCCGAAAACGGGUCAGCACAUAGAAUAUGCCGGCAAUGUAACACAUAGAGAAUAAUGAACAAUAACAAUGCUAUACUACAUGCAUAUAUGGCUGGUGGAAAGCUCUAUGGUUACAGUUUUGCGAAAAGCCAAUUUUAUCCUACUCCAAAGGAAUAAAUUUUAUUUAACUAUCAUGGUGGUUGUGAAACAUUGAGAUGGUUGACAGCAUCUCAAUCCCAAUUAAAAGUCAUCAAUAACCCAACAAAAUUAAUUAGAAGUAACAUAGUGAUGAGAUUCACAUGAUAAUCCAAGUACUAGAUACUCAAGAUUGUCCAUAACCGGGGACACGGCUAACCAUGAUUAGUUUAUACACUCUGCAGAGGUUUGUGCACUUUUCCCCACAAGACUCGAUCUCCUCCGUUGGAUUACUCGCACUACAUGGUGUUUGAGUAGCGGAUGACCGAGACACAGUCUUUCAGAAGUGUUUGCACCUUACGUAUGGGUAGACAGUUACACCUACUUUCCCCUACAUCUGCUAGUCUACCACUGUAAGAGUUCACACAACUUAGUCAACUAUGCUAGAGCCCAUAAUAGCUUGCGGCUGCACACGGAAGUUUCUAGCAUGAAUAAUCUCAUGAUCCCUUUGAACCUGGGUAGCGGUCCAAAAGAAAAACAGGCAAUCCUGGAAUACCCAGGUACCUCAAUCCACCCAGAUGUGAGUUUUAGUUGCCACCUUAAGUAAACCAUUAAUUAACAAUCUCACAUCUGUCAUGGAAAUCUCUCAAACCCAAUCCACGUCUACGAGCAUAGCAUGGCAAUAUCAUAGCAAACGUAGAAGUAACUCCCAAGCGUUUGAUAAGAAAACAGGUAAUAGGUACUACCACAACUACUUCCCAAUCCCCACAAUUUAAUUAGAUCCUAAUCAUGCAAUUGUUUGAGGAAAACAGAUCUAAUGCAAUAAAACUGGGUAUGGAAGGUAUAUGAUCAAAGUGUUACUUGCCUUGCUGAUGAUCCGCAAAACCUAGCGAUUCGAAGUAACAAGCGGCACACUCCGGGUACUCUAUCGCAAACAAACAAGCAUACAAUCAGUACUCAUCUAAAUCACAGGUAAAACUCGAAUGAAAGAUCCAACCAGAAAGUUCAACUUAAGAACUCCGGUUUGCAAAAAGAAUCAACUCGAAAGAAGCAACGGAAGUCAAACGACGAAAGAAAGAAGCUUCGUUUGCUAAUUUGGAUCUAGGUCAAAUUUUACUGUAGCAAAAACUUGUUUGAGUAGGUUAAACGGAAAGAGAAUUUCGAGACGAAACUCUAGGCGCUUGAAUCGCCUGAUUCCGAUAAACGAGCGAGAAGUUAAACAGAAACGAAGAUUCGAUCAGAAAUCGAAUCUGAGAAAAUAGCGGAAAAAUCCGACGAAAAAGAAAAACGGACGAACGGUUAAAAAACGGACGUUCGUUAACAGAGAAAAACCGACGAACGCGUUCAUUAAAACGAACGGUUCGGUGAACGCUCGCAAAAUAACAAAACCGAAAAAAAAA
rnacentral:lncRNA from 1 species